GCUAUUGUAAACAGUGCUGCAAUAAACACGGCUGGGCAUAUAUCUGUUCGUGUAAAGGCUCUUAUUUCUCUAGGGUAUAUUCCGAGGAGUGGGAUUUCUGGGUUGUAUGGUAGUUCUACUUGUAACUUUUUAAGAAAGCGCCAGAUAGAUUUCCAAAGUGGUUGUACCAUUUUACAUUCCCACCAGCAGUGUAUAAGAGUUCCAAUCUCUCCGCAGCCACUCCAACAUUUAUUCUUUUGUGUUUUUUGGAUUAAUGCCAGCCUUGUUAGAGUGAGAUGGAACCUCAUCGUAGUUUUAAUUUGCAUUUCUCUAAUGGCUAACGAUCGAGAGCAUUUUCUCAUGUGUCUGUUAGCCACCUGAAUAUCUUCUUUAGUGAAGUGCAUGUUCAUAUCCUUUGCCCACUUUUUGAUUGGGUUGUUUCUCUUUUUGUAGUUGAGUUUUACAGAAUCAUACAGAUUUUAGAGAUCAGGCGCUGGUCAGUGAUUUCAUAGCUGAAAAUUUUUUCCCAAUCUGUAGGUGGUCUUUUUACUCUUUUGGUGAAGUCUUUAGAUGAGCAUAGGUGUUUGAUUUUUAGGAGCUCCCAGUUAUCUGGUCUCUCUUCGUCAUUUUUAGUAAUGUUUUGUAUUCUGUUUACGCCUUGUAUUAGGGCUCCUAACGUUAUCCCUAUUUUUUGUUCCAUGAUCUUUAUCAUUUUACUCUUUAUGUUUAGGUCUUUGAUCUACUUGGAGUUAGUUUUUGUGCAUGGUGUGAGGUAUGGGUCCUGUUUUAUUUUUUUGCAAAUAGAUAUCCAGUUAUGCCAGCACCAUUUGUUAAAAAGACGAUCUUUUCCCCAAUUAACUGACACUGGGCCUUUGUCAAAUAUCAGCUGCUCAUACGUGGAUGGAUUUAUAUCUGGGUUCUCAAUUCUGUUCCAUUGGUCUAUGUGUUUGUUGUUGUACCAAUACCAGGCUGUUCUGACUACUGUGGCUGUAUAAUAUGUUCUAAAAUCAGGUAGAGUGAGGCCUCCCACUUUCUUCUUUUUCAGUAAUGCUUUAUUACUGAACAUUUUGAUCAAGGGUUCUAUAGAGGUAUCCUGAUCAAAAUGAGGGAAAUGCACAACAGAAGUUCGAAAUUCUCUUGGAUGCCAUGGAGGCUGGAUGAACCCUUGAAACUACUGCCCCGAGAUAACCUUUAAAUCUUUAACCAAAAAUAUUCCCUGAAGCCUUCUUAAAAUCAACCAAUAGUUUAGCUGAACUAGUAAAAAAUGUCUGCCUUGAGCAUUAUGCUCAUUUUAUGGAAUCAAAUUGACAACAACUCAAAAGAUUAGAUAGGAACCUUAGUGAGCAGUGAGCUUAUGUUAAUGGGGGAGGAGCAACUCAGAAAAGGAGGGUGAGAAUGGUUGCACAACUUGAAGAAUGUAAUCAAUGUCACUGAAUUGUACAUGUAGAAAAUGUUGAUUUGGUGUUAUGCUUUGCUGUGUAUAUUCUCAACAACAAAAUAAAUAAAACUUUUAAAUAAGAAAGGCCUGGGGGGAUAAUGAGAAAGUCAGUGUGGCAGAAAAAAUGUCCAUGAGAGACUGGAAUAGCAAGUUGGAACCAAACUGUGAAGAGAUUGUGUGUGACCAGGGCCAUUGGCAGAGGCUGUUUAGCAGGGGUUACAUGAUCAGAUGUUUUGAGAAUGGCCACUCUGGAAGUACAAGGAGCAUGCUGGCUGUCCAUGCAAGAGCUAUAGUAGGACCAGGGAAUGAAGAAGAGAGGCUUGGGGAAGGAGGUUUGUGUAAGGGAAGGGGCUGUGGAGGAGCUCCAUUCUGAGGGGCUCAUUCCUGUGAAGAGAAUAUGGGGCAGGGAAACCCAUCCGGAGCUCCGUAGUGAGUGUGGGCUGGAGAGGCUGGCUUGGAAGUAAUCAGCUAAUCGUGGUAUUUGAGGCCACAGGGAUGGAGGAGGGUGUGUGAUGAAAGAGAACAAAGUUAAGCAUAUAAGUGACAGAGGGGACAUCUGUGAAAGUUAAAGUAGAAACAGAGAGGAGAGAACAGUAAAAGGCAUCAAAAACAGGAGGUGAUGAAGUAUGCCAAGUGCAGAGGCAAGUAAGAUGAGGCCUAGAAAAUGUGCCCUGCCUUGUAGAUUGAGAGGUAACUGAUGGUCUGUCUCAGCAGUUUCCAUUGGAGCAGUUUCCAUUCAGCAUCGAGAGCAGGAGCAAGAUGGCAGAUGCCGUGCAGAGCUAGGCCCUGGGUGAAAGGCACAUAUGAGACAAAUUACCCUCUUCCAAAGCAGUCCUUCUGGACAACGGUUACGUGCUAGGCUGCUAACUGUAAGGCUGGCAGUUUGAAGCUUCAAAUCCACCCAGCAACUCCUUGGAAGAAAGACCUGGCGAUCUCCUCCUGUAAAGAAAACCCUAUAGGGCAGUUCUACUCUGUCACGCUGGGUCACUAUGUGUCAAAAGCAACUCAGUAGCACAUAACUACAACUCCCUUACAAAGUUGUCUUCUUUUUAUCGUUUUGAAUGAUCUAAUUUUUUAGGUCCCUGUACAUUCUCUCUUGCUCAGACUCUCGUUCAUUUUUGAGACGGGCAUUUAUUUAUGUCAUAUGAACCAAGACUACAGGUGAGUUAGGGAACUCUGCCUGCUCGUGGAGACACCUCUAGCCAAGUGGGAGCAGAGCAUGUUGAACUCGAUUGGAUGUGUUUUUAGAAUGAUUUGUCCAAAUAGGGUAUGGAUAGAAGUCCAGUCCAACAGACAAUGCUGGCAAAGGAGGCCCUACAACGCUGGCUCCCCUUAACAAAAUACACGCACAUUUAUAUUCUUGAGAGUACACACCCUGUACCUGUGUGGAUUAAGUAAGAACACCUAAGCCCUCGUUAUGACUAUGUGAAAGGUGACAAGGUGAGACUUUAACUGAUAGUGAGAGGGAAGAGAAGUCACAAAAAUGAUUUUGUUUUACUAUUCAUUCAUUCAUUCACUUAUUUCUUAGGAGGAUUUCCUAAGUGCUCUAAGUUUCAGGGUAGAGGAGAGAAAAGUUGAGGGAGUUUGGCCUGGGGUAAUUUUUUUCAGUGCCAGAUGAGGAUGAGUAGCUUCCUCAAGGUCACAAAGCACCAGGUGAUGUGGAGUCAGAAAAAAAGCAGUUUCCAGUUCGGGCUUUACCCACACUUACAAGCUGAGCAAGCUACUUAACUUCUAGCAAGCUACUUACUUCCCACAACUGUAUAAUGGGGUAACUUCACAGGGUUGUUGGGAGACCAAAACCACACAUUCUCUGAAUUCCUAAUAAAAACCAAACCAAACCCAGUGCCGUCAAGUCGAUUCCAACUCAUAGCGACCCUAUAGGACAGAAUAGAACUGCCCCAUAGAGUUUCCAAGGAGCGCCUGGUGGGUUUGAACUGCCGACCCUUUGGUUAGCAGCUGUAGCACUUACGCCACCAGAGUUUCCAAAUUCCUAAUAGGCUCAUGACAAACCAUUAAUAGCAAUGAUAAUAUGCCAGAAACUGAAUUUAUCGUAAGAAUUCUUAUUUGCUUAUCACAACCCUGCAAAACAGACACUAUUAGUAUACUGGUUUCAGAGAUUAAGAAACUGAGGUUUAGAGAGAUUAAAUAACAUUAUGAAUAUUGCAACUAAGUGGCAGAACCAGGAUACAUAAAUCCUUUUCAAGGUUUUCUGUAGAAAAGAUUAGGGUCACAUAAGUGCAUUUAGUUCUAGUAAUAAAAGUAUUACUAAUGUCUUUGGCUAAAAGAAUUCACUUUGAAGCUGUUGCUUCGUCUUUCACUAGAAAUCAGAACACAAUCCUACCCUAGAGGAGAGGGAACAGAAAUUAAAAAAAAAAAAAAAAAAAGGGCAAAAAUGUGCACAAUGUAUCUUUAAAACAGGUAAGGGAUUGGGGCAGGCUCUUAUUUCAAUGUCUUCCUCUUGGAGAAAGUUCGAGCAUGCAAGGUAUUUUCCGAAAACAGGACAUUUAAAAAGUACUUUACCAUUUCAGAUUGGGGGACUGCUUAUGCCUUAUCUGCAGAUUUGAGAAUAUGGUGAUGCUCAAAGGUAACCUCACAUCACUAAAAAUAGACUGGAUGGGACCCACCCGCAAAAAGGAAACAGAACGCCACGUGCUACGGUUUCAGGAGAACAUGUGCCAAGGUUUUCGUGACCCAGUUACUAUGUUCUCACCUAGGCCCCUGUAUGCGCCCCGAGGGCCGAAAUGUGGACACGAAGCCUUUUUUCUUUGGGUUACAGGAAUAUGGUAUCACCCAUUUUACACCCAAGGUGGAGCAAGGUCGGGGACGCGUGGGGCCUGAUCUCCCAGGAUGGGGUAUUGGCGUUGACCUUGACAAGCAGCGCGACCUUGAAGCCUAUGCGCACCUCAGUUGCCCCCUCUGUGCAAUGGGGAGACGAGACCUCAUCGCCUGGAUAGAGUCCGAGCUGCAUGCCUGCGCUCUGGCCUCCAUCCCGUCCCCUGCGCUUCGCUCGCCCCGGCGCUGUCCUCCGGUUCCCGUCAGGAAUCCUUCCCCCACACCCCCUUCUCCUCCAACCCAGUGCCGCAGCCACAGCGACGCGGCCCGCGGGCGGGAACCUGUUUCCCGUCCAUCACGAGCCAGCGUUCCGCCCUUUCCCUGCCCGCCGGCGCCGGGGUCUCCGUCUAUAGGCCAGUAGUGCCAUCAUUCUAACUGGGACGCGGUCGCGACUGGUAGCUGCGGGGCGCGCGACCGGCCUGUGGGCGGGGCCCAGGCCCGCUAUAAAAGGGGCGGGUCGGCCACGCUCGUGCCGCUUUGCAGACGCCGCUCCCUGAAUUCGCAUCCUCGUGUGGUUGUCCCGCGCCCAGCCAUGGUCAACCCCACCGUGUACUUCGACAUCGCCGUCGACGGCGAGCCCCUGGGGCGAGUCUCCUUCGAGAGCUGAUGACUGAUAAAGACCCUAGUGGAAACGUGACCUUAUGCUUGAUGCUGGACACACAGCCUCUCAGAGGAACUAGACAGGACUUCAGUGAAAAUGAGACCAGGAGCUCCUGUGGUCCGUUGGUGAGGAUGGAAGUGGAACAGCUACCAACAAGGACUUUUUGCUUUUAAAGAGGAAAAAAACAGCAAUGUAAAAGAAAUACGGACAACAAAGCUUUGAGAAAAUUGUUCGCAGAUAAAGUUCCAAAGACAGCAG